GCAAGUCGAACGGUAACAGGCCGCAAGGUGCUGACGAGUGGCGAACGGGUGAGUAAUGCAUCGGAACGUGCCCAGUCGUGGGGGAUAACGCAGCGAAAGCUGCGCUAAUACCGCAUACGAUCUAUGGAUGAAAGCGGGGGACCGUAAGGCCUCGCGCGAUUGGAGCGGCCGAUGUCAGAUUAGGUAGUUGGUGUGGUAAAGGCUCACCAAGCCAACGAUCUGUAGCUGGUCUGAGAGGACGACCAGCCACACUGGAACUGAGACACGGUCCAGACUCCUACGGGAGGCAGCAGUGGGGAAUUUUGGACAAUGGGCGCAAGCCUGAUCCAGCAAUGCCGCGUGCAGGAAGAAGGCCUUCGGGUUGUAAACUGCUUUUGUACGGAACGAAACGGUCUGAGUUAAUACCUCGGGCUAAUGACGGUACCGUAAGAAUAAGCACCGGCUAACUACGUGCCAGCAGCCGCGGUAAUACGUAGGGUGCAAGCGUUAAUCGGAAUUACUGGGCGUAAAGCGUGCGCAGGCGGUGAUGUAAGACAGUCGUGAAAUCCCCGGGCUCAACCUGGGAAUUGCGAUUGUGACUGCAUCGCUGGAGUGCGGCAGAGGGGGAUGGAAUUCCGCGUGUAGCAGUGAAAUGCGUAGAUAUGCGGAGGAACACCGAUGGCGAAGGCAAUCCCCUGGGCCUGCACUGACGCUCAUGCACGAAAGCGUGGGGAGCAAACAGGAUUAGAUACCCUGGUAGUCCACGCCCUAAACGAUGUCAACUGGUUGUUGGGUCUCUUCUGACUCAGUAACGAAGCUAACGCGUGAAGUUGACCGCCUGGGGAGUACGGCCGCAAGGUUGAAUCUCAAAGGAAUUGACGGGGACCCGCACAAGCGGUGGAUGAUGUGGUUUAAUUCGGAUGCACGCGAAAAACCUUACCCACCUUUGACAUGUA
rnacentral:rRNA from 1 species